CCUCUGCACAUCAACAGAAUACUGCAGAGAAGUGUUCACUGAAAAUGCGGAAAACAAGAUCCAUUUCACGGUUUACAUCACAGACAUCAAACAACUUGAGGUCAAGCCUAAAAUAAAUAAAUCAAAGACCAAAGAAUAUCUCUUGAGGCAUAUGCUCAUAGAGUUUAUAUCCAUAGGAAAAGGAUACAACAUAUAUUAUUAUAUCUCAGUCAUGGCAGUACAUCAAGCAGGCAUCAAUAUGACAUCCACCAUGAUAUCUUUUAUUGGAGCAACGAAAGAAAAUACACACAAGCACAUAAACAAACUGACACACUGGUUUGGAUACUCUCAAUGGGAUCCUGUUUUAUUGAACACGAUGGUGAGACAUAACUUUGACCUGUGAAAUCUAAGACCAAGCAUAUGCAUUAUUAGUCAUCAAGGGAUGCCAAGAGAGUAUCCCCCUUACAGAAACUGUCACAAGCAACACCGCAGCGUUUCACAUAGAGUUUCAUCUCUUCAGUACUGUUGUCAGCUGGUGCCAAAAUAGGAUAGUAUGCGUCAAGAACUAACUUUUCAAUUAGUUUGCAUGUACAAAUGAAAUAUAAAUAUACUCAGAUGGAUUUUAUUUACCUGUGUUGAUCAUGUUGUCACACACGGAAGACCUACAUCCCAAGCUGCAAUACUCAAUGGCGUUUGGUUCAUCUGCCAAAACGAAGUAGAUCUGAGAUAAACAAUUCCUCCGUUACAAUAUGUCGAUGUUUUGUGUAUGGGAUGGCCUCUAUCAUUCAUUCUUUAUUAGCUGUUUUCACAACAAUUUUUGGUAGAUUUUUUCUAGUAUAAUGAAAAAUCCUUCAUGUCAAAUCUUAUCAUACAAAUAUGAACUAACAAAUUCAGAAUAGUUUAUUGUAUUAAUAGCUAAACUUGGAAUUUUUUUUAGUUUGACAUUACACUUUUUUAGGAUCACAUCUACUUUGAAAAGGAGAUAGUAUAUAAAUUAGAAGUAGCGAGUUGUCUGUCUUUACCGGAGCUGCGUACAGAGGCCAGGCCCGCGGGGAGUCGACAAGCACAGAAGUCUGCGCACUGGAACACUGUACUAGGACCGAGAAGGCAAGAGUUGAAGCAGGCCACUUUGAAGGGGUUUGCGCCGCAGUCCACGCCCUCUACUUGCACCUGCUCCAGGACCAGCCCCAGCACCAGUAGGCACACGAUCGCACUCUCCAGACCCUUUUGGCCUCCUCCCAUGGCUAUGGUUGCCGGGCUCUCUUGCAGAAGGCACAAGUAUUAAUGGGGGCUUCUGGUUGAAGGACAGAUGAGACUAGAGUGAGUUCCAUGGCUCCUGGUAGGGAUUUUUAUACUAGGAGAUGAUGGUCGUGGGAGUGCCUAGAUGAGUACUGGUUGUUGCACGUGAAACCAAAGCACACCGGGGCCAUAGUGUCUUUUCUUCUCCCACACGGGGCAAAAAGUUGGAUCGAUGGCGCGCGGACAAAGUUGGCCGGAGCCGAAGACGGUGACAAUGCUGUGACCUGCGCGAAGCUAUCCAGUAGGAUGUUACGUGCAAGCCGGCGCUUUUUUUUAACUGCAUUUCUAUAAAAAAAUAUACGAUGAAAUACAUUUUUGACGUGAGGUACACAAACAAAAUAAAGUACAGUUUUGCUAAAGCACAUCUAGAUAUGCUCUAAGUAUUGCACAUCUAAAUCCUAUAUCAUUGAUAUUAUUCUAAGAUUCGUGCAAGCAUUUUUUUUCAAUAUUUUUUCUUUUUCUUUCUAGUUUGAUUGAGUCACUUAGAUGUGCAAUAACUACGGAAUGUAGAGUAUUUUAUGGCAUAAGAACAUUUUGUUUAGAUUUUUUUUUUGAAACUUUAAAAUCCGAUUUCGCUCUAGCAGGUCCUAUUUUGUCCCAGCAUGCAACUAUAUAUGGGGCGGGGUUUGGACAAAAUACAUUUUUUUUUGUCAAAAUGACUUGUGUGCCUGGGAAUAGAGGGGAAGUGCCGUAUUAUAUGCCGCCGAAAUACCUUUUUUUUUGUUGGGAACGAUACGUGCAUGCCAGAAAAACAUCUCUCUGCUGUACACAUGUGCAUGCCUUUGAGGUUUGAGCUGGCGAUGUAUAUCAAACAACGUGUGCCCAAUGUCACGUUGGUUUUUCGUGUGCAAGAUUUGUAGAUUGCUGAUCACGCUUGGCGCGGGAAGUUUUUCGUGUGCAGAUACAUGGCUUUAUAUGACAGGUAAACUAGAGCCUUGUCUUUCCCCCUAUACUACUCCUAUCUUUAACUUUAUAAGAGAAAAAUAUAUUUUUCGUCUUUUAACUCUUGGCAAAAUCUAGAUUUAGUCCUUUAACUUUAAAACCAAACAAGUUGCAUUCUAAACUUUUAAAACCGGUAAUACUAUCUUUUACGAAGAACAAUCCUACCUUGUUUACACGUCCACUAAAUGCACCAUUGUAAAUUACUUUGACCGGUUUAAAUGAAAAACAAGGCUGAAAACCAACAUGAGCCAACACCGACACCAACACAAACAUGCCAACACCAUCUAACAUGACCACAAUCCAGAGCGAUAGUAAGCAAGAUCUUCGAAGAUGACUUCAAGAAGAAAAAACAAUGCCUAAAGACGCCGCUGUCACCGGCAUCGACCCCCGUCAAUCAAUAAGCUUUCGCAUAGACCCACACAUGACCGCCCCACCAAACAUUGGGAUAGAUCAAUCCUAGCCAUUAGCCUCCGAUGCCAGUCCUCGCCGACCAGCCACAGAUCAGUGUGAAAAAGUACUCUUCGACAAUAUCUCCAAGAGGAGGAGGACGCCCAUGGGCGCCAACAUCACCGGCAACGACCCCCGACUGAGAACAAGGCUUUCGCCCAGAGUCUUAUGCCUCGCCCCCUCUGAUCCAAGGUGUUGGAAAUAUUGGCAAUUUACCAUAUGAUUUUAUUAACGGAAAUACUAGAUAAAGCAUGACUAAAGUAACAGAGAUAAAGCAAGUCAUGCGAUCUGACAAAGAGAAGGUAGAUAACAUCUGCAAAUAUAAACUAGAACCGAACAUCUCUAGAGUAGACAGUAGACCAAGUAGCAUAUAUGAAGUAGAACCUAUCAUGUGUAGGGCAAGGACUGGAACAAGGAACUGUGGCAGAACCUCUAACAGGAAAAACAAGAACACGUACGGGACAGCAGCUGCAACAGUAGCACUGGACUUGGGGUCGGUGUCCUCGGUAGCCAUGUCGUGGAGGAGGUUGUCAACGUCGGGGAAGUAGUCGUCGUCGGGGACGUAGUCGUCGGAGUCUGGGGUGUCCGUGACGAAGAAGUCAGUAGUCGCGCAGAGCGCUCCCCAAAAACCUUAUCACCCUUCUCCCGUACAGGACUCAAAGAGGUGCGGUUUCGGAGGCCUACUGUCCCGACCUGCGGUGCACGCCGCAAGCGGGAUGAGGAAGAUCGUAGCAGCAGCGCAGUGUUCAGGAACCGGUGGCGAGAGGAAGAAUGAGUUUUGGUACAUCUCUCUGAGAGGAGCGACCUUCCUUUUAUAGGCGCAAGAGAAGGAGGCGAGAGGCUGCGUUGGGAGCUGAAGGGAACGAGGGAGAUGAAACGAACAGAUAGCAGCCGAAGGGUGCAGCAUUCGUAUUCAAUAUCCACUACAGCAAAAACUUUCCAGCUCCCGAGUGACCUUUCGUAUACCCGUAGUGCGUGGAAAAAAUUUAGACAUCGGCUAAUUCCCGCAACCCGCGGCGUGACGAGGCGUGGCGGGGCGGGCGGCGGAGGAGGAGCGCGCGUGGAUGUCCCUCUUGUUCUCAUGCUCAUACAAAUGGGGAAAGAACCUCCCUUAUAAAGAGGUCCAACUCCCUCUAAACUGGCAAUGUGGGACUAAACUUUAGUAGUGUCCCUUGCCUUGCACGAAUGGGCUAAGUGGGCCUCUAGGAUUUAUUAGGAAUUUCUGAAAUUGUUAUUGGGCUAGGCCCAUAAAUAGAUAAAAUUCCAGCAAUCCCCCAAGAUCCUAGAGCCACAUAGAAUUUGCCUUUAGUUCCAAAACACUGUUUUAUAUACCGGUACUGCAGUGGAGACUGUUAAGUUGAACUUCCACCUAGAACUCUAUGCUACACUAGUAAGCAACUUGAACAGUGGACUGGGCCUUGAACUACAAGUUUUCUGCGAAUCUAGCUUCACAUAAAGCCUUGACCGAUACGUGGCUACCGUGGGUCUUCCCGCGGGUGGAGCUUAUGCGUCAUACUCCGAGACCUUUCAUGAGUUUACUAGAGAGAACCCUACUCUCAUAGAUUGCGACGUUUAACAAUCAGACUCAUAUAGGUGUGUUCUUCAAAAGAUGUUCUGCAGGACAACAUCUCUGCUUAAAUGAGCCACUUAGAACACAUUAAGAUAUACAUCAACCUGCCAUACAGUUUUAGGAGAGUAUUGCAUCUUCAUGGAGUGGUAUUGUUAAUAGUAAGGAUACUCUCCUCUCAGUUGAUCAACAGCUUGUCUUCCACAUCUAAUUCACGGGAUCUCCGAUCACAAAGAAUAGGUUACCACUGUGAACAACUCAUAUUGUGGGCUCAUACCCAUCUCCCUCGAUGCAUUAUCUAUCACAUUACGUGAUAGACCCUUAGUAAAAGGAUCUGCCAGAUUUUUAGACUUUUGGAUAUAAUCCAAUGCAAUAACUCCGGAGUUUCUCAUUUUCCUGACAGACUUUAACCUUCUCUGAACGUGUCUUGAUGACUUCAUGUUAUCCUUUGAGCUGCUCACUUUUGUGAUCACAGUUUGAUUGUCGCAGUUCAUAAGGAUACCCGGUACAGGUUUCUCAACAGCCGGCAAGUCAUUCAAGAGCCGGCGAAGCCAAUCUGCUUCGACCGUAGUUGUUUCUAGUGUUGUGAGUUCUGCUUCCAUUGUUGACCUCGUUAAGAUGGUCUGCUUGCAAGACUUCCAAGAAACAGCGCCACCUCCAUGAGUGAAUACAUAACCGCUCGUGGCCUUUAUCUCAUCAGCAUCUGAGAUCCAGUUUGAGUCACUAUACCCUUCAAGCACCUUUGGGUGCCCAGUGUAGUGAAUUCCAUAAUUCGCAGUGCCUUUCAAAUAAUGCAAAACUCUCUCUAGAGCUUUCCAAUGCACAUCUCCUGGUUUUGAGACAAACCGACUCAGUUUGCUAACAGCAAAAGAGAUGUCAGGUCUUGUAGCACUGGCUAAGUACAUAAGCGAGCCAAUAAUCUGAGAAUAUUUCAAUUGAUCUCUAGCAAUUCUUCGAUUCUUUCGAAGUAACACACUCGCAUCAUAUGGUGUUGGAGAGGGCUUGCAGUCACUAUAGCCAAAGCGACUCAAGAUAUUUUCCACAUAGUGAGACUGAAGCAAUGUAAUCCCACCAUCAUCGUCUCUCAACAACUUGAUGUUCAAAAUGACAUCAGCCACUCCUAAAUCCUUCAGCUCAAAACAACGAGAUAGGAAAUCCUUGACCUCCUUAAUAACAUUUAGAUUUGUUCCAAAAAUCAGUAUGUCAUCAACAUACAAGCAAAGAAUAACUCCUUCGCCCCCACCAUGGCGAUAAUACACACAUUUAUCAGCUUCGUUUACAACGAAGCCUGCAGCGGUUAAAGUUCUUUCAAACUUCUCAUGCCACUGUUUGGGUGCUUGCUUGAGUCCAUACAAAGACUUCAGCAACUUGCAAACUUUUCCUUCCUGACCAUCUAGUACAAACCCAUCUGGUUGUUCCAUAUAAAUUUCCUCAUCCAACUCUCCAUUUAGGAAAGCAGUCUUAACAUCCAUUUGAUGAACGAGAAGACCAUGUGAGGCAGCUAGUGAAAGUAGAACUCGAAUAGUGGUCAGUCAAGCCACAGGUGAGUAAGUAUCAAAGAAGUCUUCACCUUCCUUUUGGUUAUAACCCUUAGCCACGAGCCGAGCCUUGUACUUUUCAAUAGUACCAUCAGGCCUAAGCUUCUUCUUGAAUACCCAUUUGCAUCCUAUAGGUUUGCACCCAUAAGGACGAUCAGUUAUCUCCCAAGUUUCAUUCGCCAAGAUGGAAUCCAUCUCGCUACGAACCGCUUCCUUCCAGUAGUCAGCAUCUUCAGAUGCAUAGGCCUCUGAAAUAGAACUGGGAGUGUCAUCUAUGAGAUACACAAGAAAAUCAUCACCAAAGGACUUUGCAAUCCUCUGUCUCUUGCUCCUAGUAGGAACUUCAUUGUUCUCCUCCACAGAGUUUUCAAAGUGUUCCAUCGAAAUGGCAGGUUCGGUAAUUGUAACUAGUUCCUGAUUCGAUGAACUAGGCAUCUCCUGAUUAGACGAGGUAGACAUAUCCUUCAUGGGAAAGAUAUCUUCAAAGAAAGUCGCAUCAUUCGACUCCAUGAUCGUACCGACAUGCAUGUCAGGUACCUCAGAUUUUACAACCAAGAAUCUAUAGCCAAUGCUAUGAAAAGCAUAUCCCAGGAAAACACAAUCCACAGUCUUUGGUCCAAGCUUCCGCUUCUUUGGAAUUGGAACAUUGACUUUCGCCAAACAACCCCAUGUUCGCAGAUAAGAGAGUUUUAACCUUUUCUUCUCCCAUUCCUCGAAUGGAGUUAUCUCUUUGUUUAGGACAAUGACAUGCCGUCAAUAUCGCCUCCCCCCACCAUGCCUUGGAGAGACCCGAUGUGUCUAACAUGGCGUUAACCAAAUCAGUUAGAGUACGGUUCUUUCUUUCGGCCACCCCAUUUGACUGAGGUGAGUAGGGAGGCGUCCUCUCAUGGAUUAUACCAUGUUCCGCACAAAAAGCAUCAAAUUCAUUGGAAAAAUACUCUCCACCACGGUCGGACCUAAGCCUCUUGAUUUUUUGAUCAAGUUGGUUUUCCACUUCAGCUUUAUAGAUCUUGAAAAAGUUCAAAGCCUCAUCCUUAGAUUUCAGAAGAUACACACGGCAAUAUCUAGUGGAGUCGUCAAUUAAUGUCAUGAAAUAUUUCUUUCCACCUUUUGUCAAAACACCAUUCAUUUCACAUAGAUCUGAAUGUAUGAGCUCGAGUGGUGCAAGAUUUCUCGUUUCCGCAGUCGUGUGAGACUUACGAGGUUGCUUAGCUUGCACACACACUUGACACUUAGAUCCCUUGACAGUGGUGAAACUAGGGAUUAAGUUCAACUUCGCUAGUCGCGACAUGCAACCAAAGUUAACACGACAAAGACGUGAAUGCCACACAUUUGAUUCACUAUUGUUGCAAAUAUUUAACAACUUUAUUGCAAACGUCUGAUAAGGCUAAACGAAACAGGCCUCCUGACUCAUAGCCUUUACCAACGAAGGUUCCAUACUUGGAUAUUACAAAUUUAUUCGACUCAAAGACAAGCUUGUAGCCAUCUCUACACAGAAAAGAUCCGCUAACAAAAUUUUUAUUGACGGAGGGGACAUAAUGCACGUUCUUCAGCCGCACGAUCUUCCCCGAAGUAAACUUCAGAUCGACCGUGCCAACACCACGAACAGAAGCACUUGAACCGUUGCCCAUCAACACGGUUGAAGUCCCUGCGGUCUGAUAAGACGAAAACAUGGAAAUAUCACCGCAUACAUGCACAUUAGCACCCGUGUCAAUCAACCAAUCAGGAGAAUGACAUACUGAAAGAAUAGUGGGAAAUAUACCAUACCCAGCAUCCUUUAUGUCAGUGUCUCCAAUGACAACAUUAGCGGUCUUGCCGCCUUUCCCAGGAUGACGCUUGUCAUAGCGAUUAGGGCAACUAGGAGCCCAAUGAUCAGGAUCCCCACACACAUGACAAGCACCUUUCUUCUUGUCAUUCUUCUUCUUGAAGUUCGUGUGUUGCAUAGCCUUGUUCUUCCCAUCAAACUUUGCUUUACCAUCAAACUUGCCCUUGUUCUUGAACUUGUGGGGCUGGAAGUUCUUCUUCUGUACCAGAUUGGCACUAGAUCCUCCCUCAAUACCUCGAGCACGUGUGUCCUUUGCUCUCGCCUUUUCUUCCACAUCAAGAGUGCCAAUGAGAUCCGGAACGGAAAACCCCUGCCUCUUAUGCUUCAGUAAGGUAGCAAAGUUCCUCCAUGAAGGAGGAAGCUUAUUGAUGAUACCUCCGGCAACAAACUUGUCCGGUAGCAUACAACUGAAGUGCUCAAGUUCUCUAGCAAAUGACUGUAUCUCAUGAGCUUGCUCAACCACGGAGCGCUCUUCAGUCAUCCUGUAACCAUAGAAUUGCUCCAUGAUGUACAGCUCAGUGCCAGCAUCCGAGACCCCAAACUUGGCCUCAAGUGCAUCCCACAUAUCUUUUCCAUUAUCAAUUGACGCAUAAGCAUCAAUUAUGUUCUCACCAAGAACACUCAAGAAAGCAGCCUUAAACAGAGUAUCCAUUUUCUAAAAAGCUUGUGCCUGUUGAGCAUCAAGAUCUCCUUCAGGUUUGCCAAGAAUGGUUUGAAACCAUAAGACUGCUCUCACGCGCCACCUCUUAUAGUGGAUACCCUCAAACAUAGGAGGUCUCAUGGAAGCAGCAAAACCACUUGGUGUAAAUUGCCUAUAAUAAGGUUUUUGGAUUGUUGGAAAUAUUGGCAAUUUACCAUAUGAUUUUAUUAACGGAAAUACUAGAUAAAGCAUGACUAAAGUAACAGAGAUAAAGCAAGUCAUGCGAUCUGACAAAGAGAAGGUAGAUAACAUCUGCAAAUAUAAACUAGAACCGAACAUCUCUAGAGUAGACAGUAGACCAAGUAGCAUAUAUGAAGUAGAACCUAUCAUGUGUAGGGCAAGGACUAGAACAAGGAACUGUGGCAGAACCUCUAACAGGAAAAACAAGAACACGUACGGGACGGCAGCUGCAACAGUAGCACUAGACUUGGGGUCGGUGUCCUCGGUAGCCAUGUCGUGGAGGAGGUUGUCGACGUCGGGGAAGUAGUCGUCGGAGUCCGGGGUGUCCGUGACGAAGAAGUCAGUAGUCGCGCAGAGCGCUCCCCAAAAACCUUAUCAUCCUUCUCCCGUACAGGACUCAAAGAGGUGCGGUUUGGGAGGCCUACUGUCCCGACCUGCGGUGCAUGCCGCAAGCCGGGAUUAGGAAGAUCAUAGCAGCAGCACAGUGUUCAGGAACCGGUGGCGAGAGGAAGAAUGAGUUUGGUACAUCUCUCUGAGAGGAGCGACCUCCCUUUUAUAGGCGCAAGAGAAGGAGGCGAGAGGCUGCGUCGGGAGCUGAAGGGGACGAGGGAGAUGAAACGAACAGAUAGCAGCCGAAGGGUGCAGCAUUCGUAUUCAAUAUCCACUACAGCAAAAACUUUUCAGCUCCCGAGUGACCUUUCGUAUACCCUAGUGCGUGGCAAAAAUUUAGACAUUGGCUCAUUCCCGCAACCCGUGGCGAGGCGUGGCGGGCGACGGAGGAGGAGCGCGCGUGGAUGUCCCUCUUGUUCUCAUACUCAUACAAAUGGGGAAAGAACCUCCCUCAUAAAGAGGUCCAACUCCCUCUAAACUGGCAAUGUGGGGCUAAACUUUAGUAGUGUCCCUUGCCUUGCACGAAUGGGCUAAAUGGGCCUUUAGGAUUUAUUAGGAAUUUCUGAAAUUAUUACUGGGCUAGGCCCAUAAAUAGAUAAAAUUCCAGCAAGGUAGGGGCCAGGCCCCUGCAAACAUCAACAUCGACGAACCAAACCAGAAGGAAAAAAGAAACGCCCCGGCCUCCACAACACCAUGAAGGGCUGCCUGCAUAGGUGUUGACACCACCACCACCACUACUACGAGGACUCUUGAAGCCACAAUGCAGCAACCGCCUCGCAUCCGCGCUGUCGACGGAGGCCAACCUCGCCGCCAACUAACGCUCUAGUCUGCUGCCCGUGCAACCGCGACCAAAGCACGCCAACGACGCCUACCAACACCACCACUGUGCUACCAUUCGCCACGCGCCGCACUGCCACACCCAUCGCCGUCCCGUAGAGGGAAAAGUGCAGCUGUGCCGUCACCGACCCCAAGAGGUCACCUCCAAAGACGGAGCAGCAGAUCGGGCGCCGCCCCGAUCUGAGCCCUUCGAGCCGGCGCACGAGCAACCACCGCCGCGCAGCACUGGCGCCUCCCAGACGGAGUUCAUAUCCACAGGCAAAUGAUACAACAUAUACCAUUAUAUCUCAGUCAUGGUAGUACAUCAGGGCAGCAACAUGGCAUCCAUCAUGAUGGCUUUUAUUUCGAACAAGGAAUGGAAAUACACACACAUAAAACAGAGUGACACACUGGUUUGGAUACUCUCGAUGGGAUCCAAUUUUAUUGAACGCAAAGGUGAGACACGACCUUGCCCUGUGAAAUCUCAGACCAUGGAUACGCAUCAUUACGCAUCAAGGGAAGUGAGGCCAGCAUCACCGUUACAGAAAUUGACACAAGCAUC
rnacentral:lncRNA from 1 species